CCCUGAUGGUGACCAAUCUGCACUUUGGCUGUCCACACUGCUCAAUAGAAAGUUUGAACUUCCAGCUCUUGGUAGUGCAGACACAGCAACAACUUUACUCAUGUGUACACAGUAUCGGGGAUGUGUGAGAAAUAUGUUUACCCCUGACCUCUUGUCAGUGUUUAUAAGACACAUUACUCCACCCUAUCUCUGUCUGUUGGGCUAAUACAACAUGGAAGAAGCCAGUAACCAAAAAAUAAUACUGGCAAAUAAAAACACAAUGUGGUGCCAAAAAGCUUCCUAUCAAGAGACAUGCUGAGGAGAAGGGCUCUCCAGAUUCUAGCAAGAAGCAAGAGGUGUGGAGCUACUUUGAGCCCGGAUAAGGCUGGAAAAAGUUAUUUAUCUGUGCAAAUUAUUCCCCGUGUCACCCAGUCUGAUGGGUGUUUGGACAACUGUUAACAUUUCUGGAUCUCAGAAUGCUGUGGGAGAACGGAGAUGUGCUAUUCAUUAGAGAUGCACUGAACAAACAAGGCUGCAUCCCUGGCCCAGAAAUGCUUCAAAGAGCACCAAGUCUGUUGGGAAUGUUUCAGAAAUGUAGAGCAGUGUUGACUGCUUAGCUUUGCAUUUCAACAAGCACACACACACACACACACACACACACACAAACACGCACGUUCCCAAGCUGGCUGCAGAUCAUUCAGUGAGUCUACAAGCCCGUGCACUCCGUACGGAUGCGGGAUGCUUCUCUUCCUCUUUAAGGUGAUAUAUUGAUGUAUGCUUUCAGAUGUUUUUUUUCUCAUCUUCAGAGUUCAUAUAAUAUGAUGUACUACACUGUCUUUUCUAAGCUACCAUGCAUAUAUUAUCAGAUUCACUUGAAGGUACUGUAUAUGCAGGUAUAGGAAAAAACAGCUGGUCCCACUCUGUAACAAACUGCUGUAAAUGUUGGUGUUGAUUUAAAAAAAAAAUUAAAAAUACCUCGC
rnacentral:lncRNA from 1 species